ACGGAAGGCAGCAGUGGGGAAUAUUGCACAAUGGGCGCAAGCCUGAUGCAGCGAUGCCGCGUGAGGGAAGAAGGUUUUUGGAUUGUAAACCUCUGUCAACAGGGACGAAAAUGACGGUACCUGUGAAGGAAGCUCCGGCUAACUACGUGCCAGCAGCCGCGGUAAUACGUAGGGAGCAAGCGUUAUCCGGAAUUACUGGGUGUAAAGGGAGUGUAGGCGGGACUGUAAGUCAGAUGUGAAAUAUGCCGGCUCAACUGGCAGACUGCAUUUGAAACUGCGGUUCUUGAGUGUAGUAGAGGUAAGCGGAAUUCCUAGUGUAGCGGUGAAAUGCGUAGAUAUUAGGAGGAACAUCAGUGGCGAAGGCGGCUUACUGGGCUUUAACUGACGCUGAGGCUCGAAAGCGUGGGGAGCAAACAGGAUUAGAUACCCUGGUA
rnacentral:rRNA from 1 species